GACACCAGGGGCAAAAGACGAGAAACACGAAGUGCAUGCACGGGAGUGUUUAGAAGUCUUUAUGCCCCGCCCACCGAUAUGAGCAUAAAAGCGGUGCGAAAGCACUGCGAUAUGCGAAUAGAGGUGUAGGAUGGCGAGAGUGCGGAGCACGGAGCAAUCCGGGGUGU
rnacentral:sRNA from 1 species